rnacentral:misc_RNA from 1 species
CCGAGUGUGGGCGUUCGCGCCCGACCUCCAACCCUUUGUCUACCUGACCUUUUGUUGCUUUGGCAGGCCCGCUGCCCCUCUCCUCGCGGGGGGGAUGGCCGCCGGGGGUUCCCCAGGACCCCGGGCCCGCGCCUGUCAAUGGCCCUAUUAUAAACUCUUGUUAAUAAACAUGUCGUCUGAAUCAUAACAAACAAAUAAACAA